CCUACGGGAGGCAGCAGUGAGGAAUAUUGGUCAAUGGACGCNAGUCUGAACCAGCCAUGCCGCGUGAAGGAUGAAGGCGUUCUGCGUUGUAAACUUCUUUUAUCUGGGAAGAAGCCUACGAUUUCUAUCGUAGCCGACGGUACCAGAGGAAUAAGCACCGGCUAACUCCGUGCCAGCAGCCGCGGUAAUACGGAGGGUGCAAGCGUUAUCCGGAUUCACUGGGUUUAAAGGGUGUGUAGGCGGAUACUUAAGUCAGUGGUGAAAUCUCCAGGCUCAACCUGGAAACUGCCAUUGAUACUAUUUAUCUUGAAUAUUGUUGAGGUAGGCGGAAUAUGUCAUGUAGCGGUGAAAUGCUUAGAUAUGACAUAGAACACCGAUUGCGAAGGCAGCUUGCUAAACAAUUAUUGACGCUGAGGCACGAAAGCGUGGGGAUCAAACAGGAUUAGAUACCCUGGUAGUCCACGCCCUAAACGAUGAUUACCGGACAUUUGCGAUAUACAGUGAGUGUCUGAGCGAAAGCAUUAAGUAAUCCACCUGGGAAGUACGUCCGCAAGGAUGAAACUCAAAUGAAUUGACGG
rnacentral:rRNA from 1 species